AUUGAACGCUGGCGGCAGGCCUAACACAUGCAAGUCGAGCGGGGCGGCGGACGGGUGGGUAAUGCCUAGGAAUCUGCCUGGUCUUGGGGGUUACCGUCCGGAAACGGGCGCUAAUCCCGUAUCCUUUCAGAUGGGCCUUGGUCGGAUUAGCUAGUUGGUGGGGUAAAGGCCUACCAAGGCGACGAUCGGUAACUGGUCUGCGAGGAUGAUCCGUCACACUGGAACUGAGACACGGUCCAGACUCCUACGGGAGGCAGCAGUGGGGAAUAUUGGACAAUGGACGAAAGCCUGAUCCAGCCAUGCCGCGUGUGUGAAGAAGGUCUUCGGAUUGUAAAGCACUUUAAGUUGGGAGGCGUUACCAACAGAAUAAGCACCGGCUAACUGCGUGCCAGCAGCCGCGGUAAUAC
rnacentral:rRNA from 1 species